ACAUCUGCCUCACUUCCCCUCAGGCCCCAUGGGCUGCUGGUCAACCUCUGGAUCCACUAAAGAUGAUGCAAACGCCGACUGCACUAUCUGAAACCCAAAGGACUCAAGGAGAGACAUGUUCUGCUGAGGGGAGAAAGAGCAUCAGAGAAGGCAGCCUUCCUCUUGAAGUGUGUUCAAAUGGAGGCUUUAACCCACUGGAGACCCAAUCCCCCGUUGAGAUGCACCCCUUUCCUUCACAGACGCAGAUCCCAACCACCUGAGACCUCAAGCAGGAACUUGGCGGCCGUCAUCAGCUCGGGGAAGCUCUCCAGGCGCACCACGAUGCGGGAAGUGUAGGCGAAGUCCAGGAUAUCGCCGAAUACCUUGGAGCUGAUGGUGUGCAUCUCCAACUCCCGGCUGCCCCCAGCCCCGCCGCCAGGGGCU